rfam:Alloscardovia omnicolens F0580 genomic scaffold Scaffold96, whole genome shotgun sequence.
ACCGUGAUCGUGCAGCGGUAUAAGACAUCAGACUGUAAAUCUGACGCAGCUAUUGCUACACAAGUUCGAAUCUUGCUCACGGCA